UACGUAGGGGGCAAGCGUUGUCCGGAAUCAUUGGGCGUAAAGAGCGUGUAGGCGGCUCGAUAAGUCUGCUGUGAAAGUCCAGGGCUCAACCCUGGAAGGCCGGUGGAAACUGUCGGGCUAGAGUCCGGAAGAGGAGAGUGGAAUUCCCGGUGUAGCGGUGAAAUGCGCAGAUAUCGGGAAGAACACCCGUGGCGAAGGCGGCUCUCUGGGACGGUACUGACGCUGAGACGCGAAAGCGUGGGGAGCGAACAGG
rnacentral:rRNA from 1 species